UCCAGCUUUAAACCAUGAUGGAAAGUAAAUAUUUUAGUCAUGUUUCCACUCUUCUCCUACGCCAAUAAUUCACAAGUCACCAACCUCAACAUAUACUCAUUCAGAGUUCAAGUUUAGCCAAGAACAACAGAAAGCAAUUCAUUCUCCUCACAAAUCAAGCAAUCGAGCCAAUUCAGAUUUCAACGGCUCAACUCAAAACUUCUAAAGGCUUUGUGGACCAAGGGGAUUAACACUGCUUUCCCAAGACAGGUUAUGUGAUUAUGAUCUUCAGGCUUUGCCUAUCCAGGUUGAGCAGUUGAUGGAAUGGAAUGAUGUUGAGCGGGUGUUCCUUUGACAUUUCAAGAAAUGUAACCUUGAGUAUACAUCUUCAUAUGUAUAUCUCACACGUUUUCCGCUGCAAAACACUUUGAUUAAGAUAGCUCUAUGAUAUGAAGUUGUGAUACGUGUUAUUGGGUAACCACCUUAAUCAGUUCUCAAUUAUGUGUAUCCAAAUAAUCAUAUAUGAUCCUAGCAUUUUAUCUAUGAGUGACAUUUCCAUAUACUUUAAUGUUAAGUAAUUGUCCAUUUCCAUUUCU